GCGACUUUCAUCAACCACAAUCAGAGUGAGAGAGGACCAACCUGCCGCGUGUCCUCCAUCCCCGUCCUCCCCCGCUGAACCUCGUCCUCCAGCAGCUGCAGCUGAUCCAGGACCUGCAGAUGUCCCGCAGAUCGUUUACUUCAUCAGCUUCAGACAUUUUCUGCCUCCAGACGUUUUUAUCUUCUUCAGAGCGCCGCCGCAGAGCCUCAAGCUCCGCCUCCUGUCAACACAAUCAAAACAAACUGUUGAUGAGAAAACAAACAAACAACAACAAUAAGAUCAUCAAUAAUAAUAAAGUGGUGUUUACGGCUUCCUGCAGCAGCUUCCUGCUGUGAUCAGACUCCGCCUCCAGCUCCGCCUGUUUCCUGUCUGCCUCAUGGAGCCGCGACUGCAGCUGAGCACAAACAUCAUUGAUUAAUGAUGGAUCAGAUAAACCAAACCAAACCUCCUGGGUUCAGGUUAAGAUCAGAAUAUUUGUAUUAUAAUCUUAUAAGAUUAGUCAUAAUAUAUAAUAAUAAUAUUUGUAUAAUAAACUGAUAAUGAAACAAGAAGUUAAUAAACAAUUAAACAUUU